AAGCACUAAGUGGAAAACAAAUAUAUUAAUCAAAGGCGGCAGUGAGCUAGCCGUACAAAUGCAACAUUUGGAAUUGCUUCCAAUGUGAGAUGACUUUUUUUGCCGUACUUUUCAAGAAUUUGGUAGGACGAUCAGAAGUAUUUCCAGGACACUACAAAGGCCUGCAUUUAAUAAGCCUGUUCUCUAGAAAGGACACUUAGGGAGCUCUCAAACUAAGGGCCCUCAUUCCCAUAACUGACCUACCACGAGACUGAAGAAAAACGUUCUGAAGAGUGAAAUGUGCUUCAAGCUAUCUUCUAGAACAGGCACAAACCAAUUCUGCUCUUACCAGUCCAAAAAGCUAAUUUAGACCCUGCAUUUGAUGCAUUUUGAAGCAACACUUGGGAAAGGAACAGGUGAGUUCCUUCAUUUGGUGUCCAUGGAGUUUGUGUGAUGGUAACUCAGCUCGUCUGUGUCACGCACUGACGGGCGAGCGGGCUGGAUCUGUCCUUUCCCCUUCCUUACCUGUGCCAUGGUACCAAAAAAUCAUUCCGAAAACAGUUCAGCAACGCAUAAAACUCUUUAGCAAUCUUCCCCUGUUGAGCAAUUUCUACCAAAACAGCCUAUUACAAAACCAAAUGUGGUAUUUAGCAGAUGUUUCAGGUACAGAAAGAUACUUGAGGAAAGGUUAAAAAAAAUAACCAAACAAAAAGAAAAACAAAACACCCCACAACCAACCUGGUUUUUUUAAAUAUAAAUGUCAAAGCCAAGCUCACAGCUGCAAAGACAUUUUAAACGUCUGUCAAUCCGGACUUCUUGGCUAGAAGCGUUGCAUUUGAAGUAACUGGCAAGCUGGCUGGCAGAGGAAGGUGUGCGCAGGUGGAGCAGGAGCUGCUCGUGCAGCGCGCUCUGCUCUGCUCUGCGCGGCUCCUUCUCGCAGUCGGAAGCCCCGUGCGGCUCCGGGCAGGCGGUGCCGCCGGGAGCAGCCGCAGCCCCGCUGUUUGCGGAGAAGGGGACGCUUACAAACACACCUCCUUUUGUACGGGCAAGCAAACACGCGUUUUUCACCUCUUUACAGGAUAAACAUUUUGUUAUUUUGAAAAAAAAUAUCCAUUUCAUCUACUCACUGACUUUUUUUGCCUUUUUUUCUUUCUUUUUAACCACUCAUCCGCUCACCUAAUGCUCAUCUGCUCACCUUCAUCUCCCCCGCUCCUCUUCCCUCUCUUGACACACUCAGCACCUGCCUGGGCCUCUUCUCUGUUUACCUUGGCAUUCCCCUACUAGUGGUGAAUAUGGAUGCGAAUAUUGAUGAUUUUUCCCCUUUUUUGCAGGAAAACGGACACAGCCAGUUCUACUUUCGUUUCCCGGCCUCUGGGCUCAUCAGUGAUUCCUGCUGCUCUUAUAUGACUGUUGGACAAAAUGCCCAGAGUCUCGCUGGCAAGUACAUAAUCUCGCUACUCAAAUGAACUUUCACAUCUAUUCUAAAUUAAGGCUGUUUUCUUUCCUAUAAAAACUGUAUUACAAACAAAUAGAAAAACACAAACACCACCACAACACCCCCACACAAACAAAAAAACACCCCAAAACACUUAGCGUGGGAGGAACAGUAGCAUGGCACAUGACACAAGGCACUGACACAGGUUACAGAAUCUCUAUGAGCAUUUUUGGUUUUAAAUGACAAAUGAGCUAUAGAUAAAAGAAACGGGAUUUCUCAAGACAGACUUGCACGAACACAUACACAGAUUUACCCACUUCUCAACGCUGUUAGUAUAAGGAAGUGUUACAAUGCAACCUGCUUUGAUUUAAAGUGGUAGGAGACUACUUAUAUGAAGCAUUUUGCCCUUUCCCCCCCCCAAAAAAGCAGCUCUGCAGCCACAUGCUCCACAGCCAUGUUGAACAGGUAACGCUCCCAAGCAAUCCAAACCCUUUCGCAAAGUAUUAGAUGCUUUUUAAAAAUAAACAAAGUCUAUAAAAGGUGGAGGAACUGAAACCAUGUUUCAAGUGUCAGUGCUGAGCAAAACUGAGGGGGAAGCCUGUAGUUCUGACUGGUUCUGUGUGAAGAGUUAAGCGGGGUUUAAGAUUUAACCCUGUCGCAUCACACAAUCUGUGGGGGCAGAGGGCUCGGGAGGGCCCGCAGAACCCUGCGCUGGGUGCCCGGCGUCUCUGUCUAUCAAAAAUAAACCCCAAAACACACCCAAAUCUCCCUCACCAGUGGCAUAUAUAUUAUGCAGAAUUAAUAACAGCCUUAAACUGCACUCAGCAAACCUUUUCCUUCCAAGUCCAAGGCUCAGCACACAAUGCACACAUGGUUCUACUCUUCGCUAGACUUUUGUUCAAUUUGUUAAAUUAAGUCGCUCACCCGACAAGUUAACUGGCGUGCAAAGCAUUCUGGAUUUGAUCGUUCCAGAAGCCAAGAUUCCCAGACUACAAAGCAAAGCAUUUUGGUGUCCCACGUGGCUUUGUAAAGACACCCAUGCACUAAGCUGGUAUGUUACAGCAACUGAAAGGAUUUCAUUAGUGCUGAAUUCCUGUAGGGGGAUUUCUUCUUCUUCCCCACACCAGGAUCUGGCUUUUAAUCAACUUUUAUAUUCAUUACAAACAGCUAGCAGUAAUUACAUUUACUUCUCCCCUUUAUGAUACUAUCAGGUAUCCUAUUAAGAGAUAUUUUUUUUAGCAUAAAAUUUAUAUGCAGAAACAAUUUUAGAUUAAGAGGUAUCAGGAAAAAAAACAGACAACUGUCCAGAUUUACACGGGCUCAUGUGCCCAAAAGUUGGUCUGAUACCACGUCCUUAGUCACAGCUACACCAGCACCACAGCAUUUCAAUGCUGCUUUUAUAACGGUCACACACAAUACCGUCACUUCUGUUUAAAAACUUUCUAAAACGUACUUAGUACGUAAAAACUAUUCGCAGAGAUGCAACAAAAUCCCAGACUGGUAUUUCUGAAGUGGAAAGUUUAACAUCAAGCUACAAGCUUUGCCUGGCGGCUGGGAGGGCAGAGCCAAACAAGCUGCUUUCAGAGCGGAGGCAGAGCGGCUGGGCCGGGUGCGCGCUGGCACGGCGCCCCCUCCGCCUGCCACGUACCGCACGGCCAGCAGUAGCCCUCUCAGCGAGAGGAACGCGGUAACUGAGAAGCGCGUUUGCUAGGAAAGAAUGUUUGAAAGGGGAGAGCAGUCAGCUGGUAAAGAACUAAAGCGAGCAUUUUUUUGGUUUUCAGGAGUAAUGACUCAUCUGGAAUCCAAAGCAGCUCAAGCAGCUCUAAGGAAAAGAUCUUUCCAGCAAGAGAAGUUCGGUGAUCCAGCAUUAAUAACGUGAUCCUUCUAAAGCAGUCUGGCUUGGGGGCUUUGGGGGAGGCUCUUACCUCCUACUAUAGUUUUAGAUGUCAAAUUCUCUUUUAAAGUAUAUACGUCCUCACUAACCUGCACAUGGAGGAAUGCAAAGGCAAGGGGAAACACGAGAAGGGAAGUCUUCCUCCACCCUCAAGUCUGUUCCCAGCCUCCAAAAAUCAUCUUUGCAACGUGCAUUUAUCUGUUGGUUUCUUUGCAAUUCCAAUUCCAGUCAUGAGAUAAGGAAUUAAAAAAACUCAGCUCAGUAAAACGUGAUUUCAUUCUGUGAGUUCCUUAGAUACGCUGGAAGUCCGUCCCAGGGUGCCACCUUCUUGAGCGCCAAACCUAAACCAGCGCACGGCUCAUUCCAGAUUAAAACCCAAGGAGAAGUAUUUAGUCGUGUCACAAAGGUGAUGGCAAACAGGGCCUGGCCGCAUACGCUCACAGGGGAAUCGGUUUCUAACGAUGGGUGUUGUCUAGUGAUGUUUUUCCUGACUGUGACACCUGCAAGAGUCUCAAGACAUAACACUUCCCACUCACGGAAAAUCAAAACUCUAAAGAAAUUUAAGUCCUUUUACUAAGGAUCAGCUGUUUGAAUAGGGGCCAAUUAUGCAUCUUUAUUUCAAUUAGUGAUCUGGUUACGUUCUCCAAUUCCUAUUAUUAGGCCAUCAAGUUUGACAGAAACUAUGAGGCUGUGUUCAAAUGGAUUAACGAGUCCCUUCAGUUAAUGCCCCAAAUGGGUCUGUGUCACAGAGGACAAACCCUGAGACUCAGCAAACACUUUCUUUAAAACACCCAGUCACCGAUAACCGAGAGAAGACAUGGACCGCCUUUGAAAUUAAAAUCAAAACCUACAAGUUAGAUGCAACACGUGUCAAAUAGGAAGACGUAUGUUGCUGAAGUACUUCUGGGGGGGCCUCUGGAGGGGGGUUAAGGCACAAACGUGUAGGCGCUCCCGGGACAAUUCCAAAGUAGCGCUCUGACGGUGCCGCUGAAGGUGCGAGGCAGUUCUCAAUGCACAAAAAUAAAUGUUUGCUAUUUGGCACUACUUGUAGAGAACAUGGCUUUAAGGACCAGACUUCAGCUACAAUGGUUUUCUAGUUUCCAUUAGUUAUAAAAUAAUUCUUGAAUCAAUCGACUUCUUGCGAUCCAGCAUUUGAAGCACUUUUAUCUUUUUAAAGAAAUUCAUAGCUAAAUAAAUGGCUACUAGCCAUUCUAAUUUCAGGGUUAAUUUCUUCAAAGAAGCUGAAAGAACACUAGUUUUCUAUUAAAGCAGCACUUACUUUCAAUCAUUUAAACAAGGGAACUCUUAAUAAUUAUCAGUUAGCUUUAAUUUGCACUACACACACGAAUGGCAGCAGCCCAUCGGUUUUAAGCACAAGCACCGACACUGAAGCUCAGCUGCAGAGCCCCACACAGGACCCACGGUUUAGUACGUUAGUCACACCACACAAGCCAUGCCAAGCAGAACGACCGUCCAUCGUGGCCACCCCUAACAUCUACAGCUAUAUUCUAUUCCAGCAGGACGCUCGCUUUGUUAGACGCCAGCCCCAUUUGCUUUAGGCCAUUCUCUUUCUUCUAAAGCCAGACUAAGAACAGAAGAGUUACGCAAAACCCCUUCUUUGCCCCAGGUUUAGAGAUGCAGCGGUGCAGCCCCAGGGCAGAUUUCCUCAGCCUGGGUGUCCCUUUGGCAGACGUCCCCUUACCUCUUAGAGACUCUGUAAUGUGCUGUGGUCAGUUUCCCAGUCUCAGGGUCAUGAACAGUAGCACGGCUCAGCUACAAAAAGAGAAAGGACAAGGCUUACCCACCUCGUAGGCCGCUUUUGCGCCAAGCCACAGGUGUUUGAAAGGGUUCCGAUUGGUCUGGAUGGUAUGCAAUGCUCUUCAAUUAGCAAUAUUAGAAGGGCAACAGAAGCUGUAGCUGCCACGUCCAAAUCAAAACAAAUUGGUUGGAAAAAUUUGGUUGGAUUGUCCUUUCACUUUUUUCCUCCUUUUUCUCUUUUUUUUUUUUUUUGUUUUGUUUUAAAUUAGAGACUUCCUGCAAAUAAUUUACGAUGCUGAGUUUCACAGACAAUUCCUCUUCACCCAGAAGUUUAACUCCUCUCAGAACUUUGGCUUAGCACGUGUGGAAGGCGCAGCCCGUCUUUAACCAGCGCCACUACCAGCGGGGGGGCGGGCGGGGGGCUGCGUUUAGAGGCAGCCAAUUUUGGAAAACAUCGGCUAAAUUCAAGACUCGCAGGACUUCAAGCUGGAAAGAACCAGGAGGCAGCGAAAAUGAGCUUGUGUUCUACCAGAUUUGCGUCAGCAGAAGAGCCCAGACGGGAGAAGGGGAUUAUCUCAGCCAAUUAAAUGCUGCGUGACUAACGAAGGCGUGUUUUGCACACCACUCCGGCUGACACGCACGGUAACGACUUAAAGCUUCUCUUACACAUGUCAAGGCGCUUCAACUGCUCUGCUACAUUUUACAAGGAAAGGGAGGACAAUUUUUGGUUGGUGAGAAAAGCACGGGAAAGGGAAUAUUUUAAAUCUCGAUUCUACUGAAGGUUUUCUAGCAUCGUGUAUUUUUUACACCACACGUAGAGACUUGCUGCUUGUACAGAUAUUCAGUUGGAGAACACACACUGAGAAUGCGACCAAAAAACAAGAAAACAAAAUACGCCCCCAGAACUUCUCGCUGAAGGAAACGACUGAGAAACUCAGCAGUAACAGCCUGUUACAGAUCUGCAUGUAAUAAAGCGGUGGACUACACAGCCAAAGUUGUCUUUUUGGACCACCUCUUUUUUUCCCGUAAUGAGCGGAACGUACACGCUCAUUACAGGCCCAAAACAUCUGGCAUAGAGCUCUCUUACCUUUUGCUAAUUCUGUAAUGUGCCGUCUCCAAGGCUCCCGUUAUGGGGUUUGAAAUGGUGGCUCGCCUCAGCUGUGAAGCGAACCAUCAGAAUAGUUGCAUUACAAAGCACAUCUCGCAUCACAGCAAUCCGACCAUUCAGAAGCCUAAGGGGAAAUGUCACGCAAGCCGCCACGCAAGCCACCCGGUCACCUUUUGCGGUGGAUUUUCCUUUACGGAGGGGCUGGAAAUUCAUAAAGCAGUGAUGGGGAAGGAGAGGGUCUCCAAAUUUACUCAAAGAGGUUUUUUAGGGAUUUUUGAUUUAUGUUUUUAAAGAGAGCAUUAGAGAAGAUCAAGUUUUGCAGGAAGUAAUGUUGCCAUUUCUGUAGCGAAGAAGAACAGUCAUCUGAAUAAACUAGCAGCUUUGACUUCCUUCAUAUUGCGACAACUGCUGGAAGCGGUACAAUGUUGUGGCACGUGCACAACUGGUCCUUUGUUAGCACUCUGUCCUGCACGUGUAAGAGGAGUUUUGCAGUUAAACUGAAACCAGGCAGCUCUGUGAUCUUGUAUAAGCGAAACAAGAGUGAAACCCUACCUUUCUGAUCCUUUCUAUAACCAAAAGCAGCAUGGACUCCUUUAGCACUGACUGCCAACACAAACUAAUUGCUUAGUCCACGGGUGCGUUCACACUGUACUCCUAAGUUACACAGAGAAAGAACUCUUGGUUCAAGGCCUUCCUUUCCCUCUGCUGCGCUCCGUUUACUUGACGCCAUCCCCUCUACGUUAACACUCUGAUUCAGAACCUUCCAUGUGCCUUUUAACUUGGUUCACAUACUGUCAGACACCCCGUCAUUCAUAACUGGGAGAGGCUGAGUUGCAGAGCCCGAAUUUUGGAAGAGGCACAAAUGCUAAACGAAGUCCCAGACAAUUAGAAAAAGUGUUUUUCUGUUGUUAAAAUAAACUAAGUAAAUCAAAGCCUCUCCAUUUCUACUAACAAGAAACAGAUACUGGAGCUCUUAACAUGCUGCUUCUCCUCUCUCGUCCCACGCGGACGCAUGUAAGAAUCAAGGCACAAAGCAGGAUUCCAGUGAGAGUCCCAAAGCUGAAUAAUAAGGAUUGAUCCUGCCAGCACAGCAGAAGGCUGGGCACAAACCAGACAGCGCCCUUUUCCAAGGCGGCGAUGGGAACAUCUCGAACAUCAGGAAGAAGGAGAUGACCUCUCAGUGGGAAAAAUCCAUAAAUCUCUUGCUACGCUCAUCACUGAGCCCUGCAAGGCCUCAGCCACCGGAGAUACGUGGAACGCUAAUGACACAGAGAUGGUUCCACGGUAAUGAACUAUGAAACUCCGAGUCUUAAACACAAGCCAAUGUUUUACAAUAAACCAAUGAUCUCAGCAAGUCGAGAAGUUAUAAACACCACGUUCACAGGUUUUUCUUUUCAGCGCUGAGACUUAUUUCUACUCCAUAAAGAAGUGAUUCAGUCAUACUCCACAGAUGUAAUGCCAGAGCUUUUGCAGCAGCAAAGGGGCUUAAUUAUCCACAACCAACCAACGAGGGCUCAGAUUUUCAGACCUGCAGUAAGGCUGCCUGACAGGAGAGCAGGAAGAGAUGUUUUACAGGUAACUUCAAAGCCUGGGAGACAGAAGUCAGUUUUAUACUUAGCGGAGAAAGCAACCAUUCAUUCUUGUCUAUACAAUAAUUCCAGGACCAGAGGAAUGGCUGGCACUCCUCUCCAUGUCACAACUUGGCAAAUACAGACUUAAACUAGAAAACCAAACAAAAACCAGAUGACAGAGGAGUCUGACAGUCCUGCGCCGCUCCUGCCUGGCUCUCUAAUUACACACCAUUUCCAGCUUCCCCGCUGUCUCCUUCGAAGAGUGCAUCACCAAGAGCUACAAGGUGAGAAAAGCGUCGUGAGCGCACUGCACGCACUUCUGCACUCACGAGGAGACAGAAUCACACACGUUCACACAGAAAACUACACACGGAACUUAAGAAGCGUAAGGCAUUUACCCUUGGCUUUGCCAGCUCUUUCACAGUUUCGAUCUCUUCAUCGGAGAUGAUGUCAAGGAAGCGAACAAUUCGAGGUUUGUCCCACUCAUCUUCCUGUUUGACAGGGCCCAGGAUGUAUCUCGGAUUCCUGUUUCCGUCGUAGUAGCGGCAGAAGAGUCUUUUUUGUC